rnacentral:rRNA from 1 species
AUUGAACGCUGGCGGCAGGCUUAACACAUGCAAGUCGAAUGAGUGGCGGACGGGUGAGUAAUGUUUGGGCAUCUGCCUUAUGGAGGGGGAUAACUACGGGAAACUGUAGCUAAUACCGCGUACCAUAGGAUGAGCCCAAGUGGGAGUAGGUAGUUGGUGAGGUAAAGGCUCACCAAGCCGACGAUCUCUAGCUGGUCUGAGAGGAUGACCAGCCACACUGGGACUGAGACACGGUCCAGACGCCUACGGGAGGCAGCAGUGGUGAAUAUUGCACAAUGGGCGCAACCCUGAUGCAGCCAUGCCGCGUGUAUGAAGAAGGCCUUCGGGUUGUAAAGUACUUUCGGUAGGGAGGCGUUAACAACAGAAGAAGCACCGGCUAACUCCGUGCCAGCAGCCGCGGUAAUAC